rnacentral:rRNA from 1 species
CAGCAGCCACGGUAAUACAGAGGGUGCGAGCGUUAAUCGGAUUUACUGGGCGUAAAGCGUGCGUAGGCGGCUUUUUAAGUCGGAUGUGAAAUCCCUGAGCUUAACUUAGGAAUUGCAUUCGAUACUGGGAAGCUAGAGUAUGGGAGAGGAUGGUAGAAUUCCAGGUGUAGCGGUGAAAUGCGUAGAGAUCUGGAGGAAUACCGAUGGCGAAGGCAGCCAUCUGGCCUAAUACUGACGCUGAGGUACGAAAGCAUGGGGAGCAAACAGGAUUAGAUACCCCCGUAGUCCCUGUCUCUAUACA